UACGGGGGGAGCAAGCGUUGUUCGGAUUUACUGGGCGUAAAGGGCGCGUAGGCGGCCACCGCAAGUCGACUGUGAAAUCUCCGGGCUUAACCCGGAAAGGUCAGCCGAUACUGCGGGGCUAGAGUGCAGAAGGGGCAGCUGGAAUUCUCGGUGUAGCGGUGAAAUGCGUAGAUAUCCGGAGGAACACCAGUGGCGAAAGCGGCCACCUGGACUGCACCUGACGCUGACACGCGAAAGCUAGGGGAGCGAACGGG
rnacentral:rRNA from 1 species